UGAACUGUUCACACCACCCAGCUGCCACUC
rnacentral:piRNA from 1 species